rnacentral:rRNA from 1 species
GACCGGAGCGGACGUACCUCUGGCGCACCAGUUGUUCUGCCAAGAGCAUAGCUGGGCAACUAUGUACGGAUCGGAUAAACGCUGAAAGCAUCUAAGCGUGAAGCCGACCCAAAGAUAAGAUAUCCCACUGAUUCAAUCAGGUAAGACCCCUUGAAGACUACAAGGUUGAUAGGCACGAUGUGUAAGUGGAGUGAUCCAUUCAGCAAGCGUGUACUAAUAGGUCGAGGGCUUGACCAC